CCUACGGGUGGCAGCAGUGAGGAAUAUUGGUCAAUGGGCGAGAGCCUGAACCAGCCAAGUCGCGUGAAGGAUGACGGCCCUAUGGGUUGUAAACUUCUUUUGUCAGGGAGCAAUUGACGCCACGUGUGGUCUUAUCGAGAGUACCUGAAGAAAAAGCAUCGGCUAACUCCGUGCCAGCAGCCGCGGUAAUACGGAGGAUGCGAGCGUUAUCCGGAUUUAUUGGGUUUAAAGGGUGCGUAGGCGGAAUAUCAAGUCAGCGGUAAAAUUUCGGGGCUCAACCCCGUCGUGCCGUUGAAACUGACGUUCUUGAGUGGGCGAGAAGUAUGCGGAAUGCGUGGUGUAGCGGUGAAAUGCAUAGAUAUCACGCAGAACUCCGAUUGCGAAGGCAGCAUACCGGCGCCCAACUGACGCUGAAGCACGAAAGCGUGGGUAUCGAACAGGAUUAGAUACCCCUGUAGUC
rnacentral:rRNA from 1 species